UGAGCAAUCUGCCCUUCUCAUCGGAAUAAGCGUUGGAUACGACGUCUAAUGCCGAAUACGACCUCCUUUCGCAUGAUCGGAGGUGGAAAGCUCCGGCGGAGAAGGAUGAGCUCGCGGCCUAUCAGCUAGUUGGUGUGGGUAAUGGCCCACCAAGGCGACGACGGGUAGCCGGCCUAAGAGGGUGACCGGUCACACUGGGACUGAGACACGGCCCAGACUCCUACGGGAGCAG
rnacentral:rRNA from 1 species